UGGGGGAUAUUGCGCAAUGGGGGAAACCCUGACGCAGCAACGCCGCGUGAAGGAUGAAGGUCUUCGGAUUGUAAACUUCUUUUAUUAAGGACGAAGAAUGACGGUACUUAAUGAAUAAGCUCCGGCUAACUACGUGCCAGCAGCCGCGGUAAUACGUAGGGAGCAAGCGUUGUCCGGAUUUACUGGGUGUAAAGGGUGCGUAGGCGGCAAAGCAAGUCAGAUGUGAAAUGUAUGGGCUCAACCCAUGAACUGCAUUUGAAACUGCAUUGCUUGAGUGAAGUAGAGGCAGGCGGAAUUCCCUGUGUAGCGGUGAAAUGCGUAGAGAUAGGGAGGAACACCAGUGGCGAAGGCGGCCUGCUGGGCUUUAACUGACGCUGAGGCACGAAAGCGUGGGUAGCAAACAGGA
rnacentral:rRNA from 1 species